GGGGCUCUAGCUCAUAUGGUAGAGCGUUCGCUUCGCAUGCGAGAGGCACAGGGUUCGAUUCCCUGGUGCUCCA
rnacentral:tRNA from 2 species